rnacentral:lncRNA from 1 species
GAACAUCGGUCUCCUGCAAUCUAUAUCUACAUUCCUUUCUCUGUUUUUGACUUAAUUGUUAUGCUUUUGAUAUAUUUACUUCAUCAAGGCAUCUCCUCAUGUUGCUUGAAUUCCUAGAUUAUGAGGCCAAUGAGUGAGUUCUUUACUAUUCACACAAAAUCCCUGUACUGCAAUACGAAAAAGCUAUUGUUUUACCUUUUGGAAAUCUCUAAGUACCCUGACUGCAUAUAAUAUAAAUUUAUUCAAUGCUGUGUCGGAGAUGCUUUUGGCGAUCUGAGUGCUAUAUAUUUUGGACUGUUUUCUUAUCUGCCUUAUUUUGCUAUUGUUCUUGUUUUCAUUUGAAUCAAAUUUUAAGUUUAUUUAUUUGACUUAAGUUUACGCUUUUUAUAUAGUUGCUUUGUCAAGGCAUCUCCUUCGGUUGCUUAACUCCCUAGACUCUGAAAUCUGAACUUCCAAUAACUGUAUUUUACAGUUCACCGAAAAUCUCCAAUUGUGUGUUAAAUGUAUUCUGAAUACGCAUUUGUUUGGCUUUAGUGGGGAAGUUGUAUCGAUGC